UGAAAUAGAAAAAUAAACAAAAUAAAUAUUUACAUUUACAUAGCUUGAUUAAACUCAAAUUUCGCGUGUCAAAGAAACUGAUUUGAUUUUUAAAAAGAAGUCGGGGAAAGCAAAAUUGGAAGAAAAAAAAUUUCUCACUAACGCUAUUCUACAGUGCUCCGAGAGUUAACCUUAAGGUUGUGUUGCAAUACUUUAUCAUAACAUCAAAAAAAGCAUAACAGCAUUUUGAAAUUUAUAUUCAGACAAACAUCGCAUAGAAAAUAAACUUUUUUAAUAUCAGCGGCUGUGAGAUCGAUAUUUGGACAAGCAAACAAGUGACUAAAACAAAGGUUAUUUUUUCAAAGAAAGAAAGAAAAAUUGAAUACUUUGGCUGAAAAUGUUUUCCUACGCGACUAUGUAAUAUAUGUAUAAUUGUUCAAAAGUUAUGAUUAUGUGAAGUUAACACUCUAACUAAAU